rnacentral:rRNA from 1 species
GACGAACGCUGGCGGCGUGCCUAACACAUGCAAGUCGAACGGAGUAAUUUCUUCGGAGGUUACUUAGUGGCGAACGGGUGAGUAACGCGUGAGAAACCUGCCUUUCAGUGGGGGACAACAGUUGGAAACGACUGCUAAUACCGCAUAAUGUUAUUUGGGGGCAUCCCUGAAUAACCAAAGCUUUAUGUGCUGAAAGAUGGUCUCGCGUCUAAUUAGCUAGAUGGCGGGGUAACGGCCCACCAUGGCGACGAUCAGUAGCCGGUCUGAGAGGAUGAACGGCCACAUUGGGACUGAGAUACGGCCCAGACUCCUACGGGAGGCAGCAGUGGGGAAUAUUGGGCAAUGGGGGAAACCCUGACCCAGCAACGCCGCGUGAAGGAAGAAGGCCUUCGGGUUGUAAACUUCUUUUACCAGGACGAAGAAUGUGACGGUACCUGGAGAAAAAGCAACGGCUAACUACGUGCCAGCCGCCGCUGUAAAAC